UGCACACGCUGCUCCUUCAGGAACUGCAGAGCCUUGUCCACAUUCUCCAGCGAGUGGAUCCGCAUGCGGCCGCGAGUGGGCCUCGGCUAGGGCAGCAGGGGCAUUGAGUGAUGGGACCUAGCCAAGAGCGAGGAGCCCUCGGCUCUGCCUCUCUCACUGCCAAGGCCCUUCAAUCUCAUCCAAGACUCAGGACCCAAUCCUAUCAUCUCUGCGGGUUCAGGACCAGACUGGGCUACAGACCAUCAAGGUCCUCUCACCAGUUGCUCCCCUGACAGCACUUCCAGGAGCCGGGUGAGCACAAACCCGUCCCGAAGGUCUGCAUACAGGUCUCCAAUGUGGCAGCCCACGCGGGCAAGGUGCGAAUUCACCCACUUGGUGAAGGUUUUCUUCUGCACAGCCUCUCGCUCAUCUGGAAGAAACA
ensembl:processed_transcript Gm44924 predicted gene 44924